AGAGUUUGAUCAUGGCUCAGGACGAACGCUGGCGGCGUGGAUUAGGCAUGCAAGUCGAACGGUAUAAACCUUUCGGGGUUUAGAGAGUGGCGAACGGGUGAGUAACACGUAGGUAAUCUACCCUCAAAACGGGGACAACCCAGGGAAACUUGGGCUAAUACCGGAUGCGUGCAAACAAUGUUUUGGCUGCUGUAAUUGUUCACGGAAGUGAAUAGUUAUGAGAGUUCAGAGCAUAAUUUGCAUAAAAGAUGGCGUAAGCUGUCGUUUGAGGAUGAGCCUGCGUCCUAUUAGUUAGUUGGUGAGGUAAUAGCUUACCAAGGCGAUGAUAGGUAGGCGGCCUUAACGGGUGGUCGCCCACACUGGGAUUGAGAUACGGCCCAGACUCCUACGGGAGGCAGCAGUCGAGAAUAGUCUACAAUGGACGAAAGUCUGAUAGUGCGACGCCGCGUGAACGAAGAAUCCUUUCGGGGUGUAAAGUUCUUUUCUAUGUGAGCAGUUCCUUUUAUAUGAAGAGUAUAGGAGGCGGGAUUUAAGCAUAGGAAUAAGCAACGGCUAACUCCGUGCCAGCAGCCGCGGUAACACGGGGGUUGCAAGCGUUGUCCGGAAUUACUAGGCGUAAAGUGCAGGUAGGCGGAUAGAUAAGUUUAAGGUUAAAGGCUACGGCUUAACCGUAGUAAGGCGUUAGAUACUGUUUAUCUGGAAUGCGGUUGAGGGAGACAGAAUUCCUGGUGUAGCGGUGGAAUGCGCAGAGAUCAGGAGGAAUACCGAAGGCGAAGGCAGUCUUCUAAGCCGAAAUUGACGCUAAACUGCGAAGGUGUGGGGAUCAAACAGGAUUAGAUACCCUGGUAGUCCACACAGUAAACGAUAAUCACUAGGUGUUGGGUUCGUAUAGGACUCGGUGCCGGAGCUAACGCGAUAAGUGAUUCGCCUGGGGAGUACGAUCGCAAGGUUGAAACUCAAAUGAAUUGACGG
rnacentral:rRNA from 1 species